rnacentral:tRNA from 1 species
GGUGGCGAAGCUUUUAAAGCACCUGGCUGCUAACUAAAAGGUUGGUGGUUCGAACCCACCAGCCACUC